UCUAACCACUACACCACAGAAGGAACAAGUAAAAACAACAAAUAAGAAAAACCUGGACCUGACGCUGAUACGAGGAACGUUAGAUGCAGGUCAGUGUUGUGGUUACCUUCCUUUUACAGUAGAGUAUAGUACAGUGUGGUGUAGUAUAGUAUUGUGUAAUAUAGUACAGUACAGUGUGGUAUAGUAUAGUAUAGUGUAAUAUAGUACAGUGUGGUUGUGUAUAGUAUAGUGUAAUAUAGUACAGUACAGUGUGGUAUUAUAUAGUAUAGUGUAAUAUAGUAUAGUACAGUACAGUGUGGUGUAGUACUGUGUAAUAUGUAAAAUAAAUGCAUUUCCAUCUACUUUAACUGAUCUCAACCAUACAAAUGUUUACGCUUGUUUGACCAAAUCACCUGUCAGUCAGCUCACUCAAACAUUUUGUAUCUGUUUCCUCAGCAGUGUUGUUUGUCCUAAUGUUGUAUGCAUCUUGCUCUGAACGACUGACUCUACUAUCUGUACUAUGUUUUACAUUUUUAGUGCUUGAUUGUUUGUCGUUUUUCACUUUUUGUGUUAGUUCAUUCUUUAUGUGUUAUUGUAUUAGUAUUGUAAAGCAUCGCUCAGCGUUGGAAAGGCGCUAUAUAAAUGAAACAUAUAUGUAUACACUCAGACAGAUACUCUCUCUCUCUCUUCUCGUCUCGUCCUCCCUCCACUGCUCGUCGUCUGCUCCACUCGGAGAUGAAGUUUGUUUGUUUCUGCAUCGUGAGCUGUAAUUAACGUUUCACUAAUUACUGUGAUUUACACUGACAAAGAGGCAGAGAGGAGAAUAAACACCCCGAAUCACUCGCAUAACUUUAAUAUGCACUGACUGACAUUAAACACACACACACACACAGUCCUCAAUAUGGAAGCAUUUAGAUUAUUUUGUACACGUUUCAUUUCAACACUUGAAACACUCUGUGUACAUUUAUUAGCUGUGAAAGUCGUACGUUUUGUAUCACAGCCCUCUGAGUUUGGAGGGAAAAACUUCAUCUUGACGUUUUUACCAUGCGGAAAAUCCAGAAAUCAUCCUAAACAUCUCGUUCAUUUAUAUAAUAUAGAUAAUGUGCCUUAAAAUGAUCUAUUAAAAACAUCGGUGUUAUCAUUUAACUGGUAAUGAAGUGCUUACUUCUUCAGGUUUAGUGUGUGCGUGUGUGGUGAUGAUGAAGUCAUCUUCUUGUUUAUAGUUCAUUAUAGAAAGUGGAACAGUUUUCCAGCACCUUCAGGACGGAGGAGUUUACGUUUCUUUGCGGUUUCUCGGUAACAUGACGAGCUGUGUUCGGAUGUUUAUAGCUGUUAUAACGUACGUGAGGACAGGAACUAUAAACGGAUAAAAAGUACGACGUAUCGUUCUGGGGUACUGUAAAUACAUUUGGAAUUUAAUGACUGUAAUGGUGGUAAUUGUGACUCUGGUUUAAUGCCUGGAAGCAGUGCGGCUCGACAGUUUCUGUAUUUGUGUUUUAGUAAUAUUCCGUCUCUGGUUGUGAACUUCGGCUCUAGUCUGGAUUACGAGUAUGGAUUUAACCUUGUUAAUCAUUAAUCGCAAAAAAAAAAAAAAAAAAAAAUGCCUUGAUGAAAAAUCAAUCUGCGAUGUUUCUACCCAAAAGUACAAAAAAGAGGUCAGACGAAUUACAGAGAGAUUAAUUUAUCACCUCUGAUGUGAUUUAGUGCAGUCUGAAGAUCACUUCAGGGACAAACAGUGCGAGUGUAAAUGAGUGAACGUGAAAACCAGGCUCCUGCCGUCCUGAUCACAAUCACAAUCACACACGCCGAGUUCGGGGUCGCCGCAUACUGAAAUUACACACAUCGGUACUCAGAGGUCAGACGUACUGUAACUACUGACUAGAGCGCUAUUCGGAAGUUACGCACACUGCGGUGGAGUUCGGCUCGGGUAUGUCCGACUUAUUUCACGAAUGCGUUCAAAAACACUAAGGAAUAUCAAUAAUAUAUCGACACUGAAUAUUUAAGGAUGAUAUUAAAUACAUAAACACGCAAUAAAUUCAUCAUAUUGUCUUUGUAAAGUCCACUUUCUUUUUUCCUACUCAGAGACAUCGCUUACUUUGAGGAUUAUAUAUGGAUAAAAUGAUGAAUGUGAGCUGUAAGCAUAGGUCAGCUUAUCCUUCAAACCGCGGACACCUGUUCUUUACCGAAUGAACAGUAACACGGGCGUUCUUUAUUGACUCAAAACUAAAAGUGAAUUAAAAGUCAAAUAAAAUCGGCUGUACCGCGCGCACACGUUACGAUUUCAUGACCUCGAUUUAGUAUGUCACGGUUUUAUUAAGUUGUGCGGAGGAUAUGAAAAGGUAAAAUAUAAAAUAAUAUAACGUGCUGGACUCUGAACACGGCGAGAGCUGAAACAGGUCUCAUCGCCUCUCCUCACUCCGAGGAGCUCGUAUUACAGCCUACGUCCUCGCUACGUCUUUAUCGGACAUGCAGAAGGAACGUAGGAUGGAAAAAGAGCAGCGCUGAUAAUAACCCGGAGAACAUCACCGAUCUCCGAGGUCGUCCGUGUUCUGCAGGAGGUUCGGUGAUCUUCACCAAAAUAGUAUUCGCUAGAACGAGGACAUGCUACAUUUUUAGGAAAAAUAUUU
ensembl:lncRNA